rnacentral:rRNA from 1 species
UACGGGGGGAGCAAGCGUUGUUCGGAUUUACUGGGCGUAAAGGGCGCGUAGGCGGCGUGACAAGUCACUUGUGAAAUCUCCGGGCUUAACCCGGAGCGGCCAAGUGAUACUGUCGUGCUAGAGUGCGGAAGGGGCUACUGGAAUUCUCGGUGUAGCGGUGAAAUGCGUAGAUAUCGGAAGGAACAUCAGUGGCGAAAGCGGCUUCCUGGACCAGCACCGACGUUCAGGCACGAAAGCGUGGGGAGCAAACAGG